rnacentral:misc_RNA from 1 species
GUGGCGGAGGCAGCUCUGUAUCUUGGAAGUGAAGAGUCUAGGUUUGUGAGUGGGUUGAAUCUUGUGGUUGAUGGAGGUCACAGCUUGAGAUGUGCAGAUUAUGGAAUCAAUAAGUAAUCUUGAUUUGUAUUUCAGGUUCUGAAUGCUUCUGUUGCUUUUGGCUUUACUUAAAUGUCAUCACAAUUCACAAGUGAAUAAAAU